AGAACGAACGCUGGCGGCAGGCUUAACACAUGCAAGUCGAACGGUUGUAGCAGUACAGCAGUGGCAGACGGGUGAGUAACACGUGGGAACCUUCCUAGGGGUACGGAACAACUCAGGGAAACUUGAGCUAAUACCGUAUACGUCCGUGAGGAGAAAGUUUUAACGCCCCUAGACGGGCCCGCGUAGGAUUAGGUAGUUGGUGAGGUAACGGCUCACCAAGCCUACGAUCCUUAGCUGAUCUGAGAGGAUGAUCAGCCACACUGGGACUGAGACACGGCCCAGACUCCUACGGGAGGCAGCAGUGGGGAAUCUUGGACAAUGGGCGCAAGCCUGAUCCAGCCAUGCCGCGUGAGUGAAGAAGGCCUUCGGGUGUAAAGGCUCUUUUACCAGGGACGAUAAUGACGGUACCUGGAAGAAUAAGCCCCGGCAAACUUCGUGCCAGCAGCCGC
rnacentral:rRNA from 1 species